rnacentral:ncRNA from 1 species
GUCUGCACCGAGCCUUUUCCGAAAGAACGAGUGCCUAGAAUUAUGGCACGCCGAUGAUCUUGUAGAGCACCAGCCACAAUUUCCGAUGCUGAUGCAGAGCCUCCAUUGAUAAGGACGACCAAUGGUAAGCCUGCGGCAAUAUCUCCCGAUCUUGCAUUAAAACGUUGCCCGGCUCUACUCCCGCGACCUCUUGUUGACACAAUUUCACCCUUGUCUAAAAAAGCGUCUGAUACCGCCACGGCUUGAUCUAACAAACCUCCGGGGUUAUUACGCA